CGAACGCUGGCAGCGUGGAUAAGGCAUGCAAGUCGAGCGAUCCCCGCAAGGGGAUAGCGGCAAACGGGUGCGUAACACGUGAGGAAUCUACCCUGAAGAUCGGGAUAACGUCGCGAAAGCGGCGCUAAUACCGGAUAUGCCCACCGCCACCGCAUGGUGGUGUGGGGAAGGCGGGCCUCGACCGCAAGGUUGCUCGUGCUUCAGGAGGACCUCGCGUCCCAUCAGCUAGUUGGUAGGGUGACGGCCUACCAAGGCAUUUGACGGGUAGCUGGCCUGAGAGGGUGGUCAGCCACACUGGGAUUGAGAUACUGCCCAGACUCCUACGGGAGGCUGCAGUCGAGGAUCUUUGGCAAUGGGCGAAAGCCUGACCAUGCGACGCUGCGUGCGGGAUGAAGGCCUUCGGGUCGUAAACCGCUGUUACAGGGAACGAAGGUUCUGAGAGCAAACAGCUGUCAGGAUUUGACGGUACCCUGAGAGAAAGCCACGGCUAACUCCGUGCCAGCAGCCGCGGUGAUACGGAGGUGGCAAGCGUUGCUCGGAUUCACUGGGUGUAAAGGGCAAGUAGGCGGCUUCGUAAGUCGGGUGUGAAAUUCCGUGGCUCAACCAUGGAAACUGCGCCCGAAACUGCGGGGCUUGAGGACAGGAGAGGCGAACGGAAUUCCCGGUGUAAGGGUGAAAUCUGUAGAGAUCGGGAGGAACACCAGUGGCGAAGGGCGGUUCGCUGGACUGUCCCUGACGCUGAGAGGCGAAAGCUAGGGGAGCAAACAGGAUUAGAUACCCUGGUAGUCCUAGCUGUAAACGAUGGGCACUAGGUGAUGGCCCCGUUGGGGGUCAGUGCCGCAGGUAACCCGUUAAGUGCCCCACCUGGGGACUACGGCCGCAAAGUUGAAACUCAAAGGAAUUGGCGGGGGCCAGCACAAGCGGUGGAACAUGUGGUUCAAUUCGAUGCUACGCGAAGAACCUUACCCAGGCUUGACAUGCUUGAAGUAGGAACCUGAAAGGGGGACGACUCGUAACCAGUCGAGAACUUGCACAGGUGCUGCAUGGCUGUCGUCAGCUCGUGCCGUGAGGUGUUGGCUUAAGUGCCAAAACGAGCGCAACCCCUGUCCGUUGUUGCCAACGAGCCCGCAAGGGUGUCGGGAACUCGACGGAGACUGCCAGCGACGAGCUGGAGGAAGGUAGGGAUGACGUCAAGUCCGUACGGCCCUUAUGCCUGGGGCGACACACGUGUUACAAUGGAGUCGACAAUGCGCUGCAACCUCGCGAGGGGAAGCCAAUCGCACAAACGACUCCCCAGUUCAGAUCGCAGGCUGCAACUCGCCUGCGUGAAGCCGGAAUCGCUAGUAACGGCGGGUCAGCUACACCGCCGUGAAUACGUUCCCUGGCCUUGCACACACC
rnacentral:rRNA from 1 species